UACGUAGGUGGCAAGCGUUGUCCGGAAUUAUUGGGCGUAAAGAGUGCGUAGGUGGUCUUGUAAGCGUGGGGUAAAAGGCUAUGGCUCAACCAUAGUAAGCCUUGCGAACUGUGAGACUUGAGUGCAGGAGAGGAAAGUGGAAUUCCUAGUGUAGCGGUGAAAUGCGUAGAUAUUAGGAGGAACACCAGUGGCGAAAGCGGCUUUCUGGACGACAACUGACGCUGAGGCGCGAAAGCCAGGGGAGCAAACGGG
rnacentral:rRNA from 1 species